rnacentral:tRNA from 1 species
AAGGCUUUAAGUUAACUAAACUAAUAGCCUUCAAAGCUAUAAAUAUAAGAGUAACCUUUUAAGCUUUA